GACGAACGCUGGCGGCGUGCUUAACACAUGCAAGUCGAACGGAAAGGCCCCUUUGGGGGUACUCGAGUGGCGAACGGGUGAGUAACACGUGAGUAACCUGCCCUUGACUUCGGGAUAACUUCAGGAAACUGGGGCUAAUACCGGAUAGGAAUCCUUGCUGCAUGGUGGGGGUUGGAAAGCUUCGGCGGUUUUGGAUGGACUCGCGGCUUAUCAGCUUGUUGGUGGGGUAGUGGCUUACCAAGGCUUUGACGGGUAGCCGGCCUGAGAGGGCGACCGGCCACAUUGGGACUGAGAUACGGCCCAGACUCCUACGGGAGGCAGCAGUGGGGAAUAUUGCACAAUGGGCGGAAGCCUGAUGCAGCAACGCCGCGUGCGGGAUGACGGCCUUCGGGUUGUAACCCGCUUUCAGCAGGGGCGAAGCUUGUGGUGACGGUACCUGCAGAAGAAGCACCGGCUAACUACGUG
rnacentral:rRNA from 1 species